UACGUAGGGUGCGAGCGUUGUCCGGAAUUACUGGGCGUAAAGAGCUCGUAGGUGGUUUGUCGCGUUGUUCGUGAAAACUCACAGCUUAACUGUGGGCGUGCGGGCGAUACGGGCAGACUUGAGUACUGCAGGGGAGACUGGAAUUCCUGGUGUAGCGGUGGAAUGCGCAGAUAUCAGGAGGAACACCGAUGGCGAAGGCAGGUCUCUGGGCCAUAACUGACGCUGAGAAGCGAAAGCAUGGGGAGCGAACAGG
rnacentral:rRNA from 1 species